rnacentral:rRNA from 1 species
GACGAACGCUGGCGGCGUGCUUAACACAUGCAAGUCGAACGGUGAAGCGCCUUCCUUUUUGGUGGGUGUGGAUGAGUGACGAACGGGUGAGUAACACGUGAGUAACCUGCCCCCUUCUUCUGGAUAACCGCAUGAAAGUGUGGCUAAUACGGGAUAUUCUGGGUCUGUCGCAUGAUGGGUCUGGGAAAGAUGUUGUUUCGGUGGGGGAUGGGCUCGCGGCCUAUCAGCUUGUUGGUGGGGUGAUGGCCUACCAAGGCGGUGACGGGUAGCCGGCCUGAGAGGGUGGACGGUCACACUGGGACUGAGACACGGCCCAGACUCCUACGGGAGGCAGCAGUGGGGAAUAUUGCACAAUGGGCGCAAGCCUGAUGCAGCGACGCCGCGUGAGGGAUGGAGGCCUGCGGGUUGUGAACCUCUUUCGCCAGUGAAGCAGGCCUGCCUCGUUUGUGGGUGGGUUGACGGUAGCUGGAGAAGAAGCGCCGGCUAACUACGUA